UUCGUUGGAACGGCUCGACAAGCAACUAACGUUCCACCGAUAACCGGUAGCAAAUCCACUCCGUUAUCAAACAACAGCAACAGGCAUCCAAACAGCAAAACCAGCCGGAAGUUCCGAUUAGCCUAGCAUUGGGCCAACGAAUAUCCAAAAAUGUCUUCAACUAUCCCAAAAAAAAAGUCGGAAGAACUGGAAAUGCAGAUGGACCAAACAAUACAUCUAAUCCGAAUCGAAUUCCGCCGCACCCUCAUGCAUUAUCUCCCGGGUAAUUUUGUCCGAAUCGGAUGAAGAAAAAUUUGAGACAUCGGAAUCCGAGCAGUACAGAUGUUGUCAGACUGGGAUUAUUUUUUGUUUAGGAAGAUACAAAUGAUUUUUAAGUUUAAUGUCUUCCUGCUUCUCGGAGGUCAGUUAUCAAAAACUCAAGGGGUUUCCGGUUUUUCUAAAAGUGGAAGUAGUAGUAUCGCAAAUUGCUGACAGUGUUGAAUAGAAGGAAGUUUUUGACGCUUUGUCCAUCUGCUGAAAGGAAAAGUGCUUCUGAACUUGUGACCUCUAAGAUGCAAGAAACACUCAAAUUACAUGAGGAGUUGGAGAAAGUAAAUCACUGCGCUUGUGGCCAAUUUGCACGAUAGGCAAAAUGUUAUCAUGCUAAUCUUCAUCCUGUGAAAGCAUUCUAGAACCCGAUCCUCGGAAGGUUUGAUGGAAAUAUUAGUCAAUGACGCUUAGAUUGUUCCCAUAUAAGCCAAAAUGCGCUAACUGAUAAAAAAUUCAACUCCGAGAGCGACUGUUGUUUUCGGUAAAGUUUUGCAAACGGUUUUGCUUCGAUUCCAAUGAUCAGCGAAAAAGUUAAACAUCAUCCGACAUUUGAACAUUCCGUAAAGACAUCCAGUUAAGGAGGAGAACUAAAAAAAGUAGCUAACAGUUUAAAAUAAGACCAGUAAAGCGACAAACCGGGAUCAGCAGAGAAAGGAAUGCUCCAAUACGAUGAUGCCGCAGAGUGAGAAACAAAUUAGCCAGAAGGUUGUCACCACAUAGUGCUUGCCCUAGCUGUUCCUAGCCUAAAAGUGUGAUGUCGCGGGCGGAGAAAUCUGACUGGAGCAUACCAACAAUGUGACCAGGCAGUUGGGUUUUGGAGCAAGCAGGGUUCGUUCUGGUGUUGUCAGACCGGAAGCUUCCAGCAUAGAUGUGUCGAAUGUUGCUCAAAUUCAAAGUGUAACCGAUAGCAACAUUUGGAACACAGCGGAAGAUUUGAUCAAUCAGGUCCGCCAAAUUUUCCGACACAAAUUGGGAGAAACAAAUAUAUCGAGCUCUGUAAAGCAACAGCGGAGAUCAGCUAAAAAGCCAACAGUCACCACAAUUACAACAGGCUCCAGUGGUUUCGGUUUCAGAUCUGGCGGGUUCACAUUUGGCUCAACCCCAGCCAAACCAGUAGCUAUGCCGUCCCGUCAGUUAAAUCAAAUCCAUUUCCAAGCUUGGAAUCGUUUUAAUUUGGACAUAAGCGAUUCCCAGAAGUCCUACGGGGAAAUGUUACCAUCAGCAGCCUUAGCACCGGAUCGUUAGCCAUAUUUGGUUCAGGAACGGCAACUGAUGGAAAAAUUUGCAGAAUCAAUCCAAAUAUUUAAGGAUCCAUCGCAGCGCCAGACAUUCUUCAAGCUCGUUCCAGACCAGUUGUUGUAAAAAACUCCAUGCAUUGGAUUUUGAUCGGAGCUGACGAAAAUUAUUUACCACCUCAUAAAAACAAGAAAUUCCAAAACAAUAAUGGACUGGCUCGACCAAUUGGGAAGCAAUUGCCUUCGACGGAAGUGAAUUCAUGUUCCCAUAAGCUUACUGAGACGAGCGAUCGCAAACUACCAGCCAGUAGGUAACAAGGCACAGUUAGCAAGUUAGUCGGUUAUCCACUCAGGCCAUUCCCCCAAAUAUUAUUGCGGGCUCUGCUGGAGUUGGUAAAAACGAUCCUUUGCAUGGUUCGCAUUCUGCUGGCUGAAAAUUUUCGGGAAGUCGCAAUCGUGCUGAAUGCUUCUAGCGUACGUAGAAUUGAUGUGGUCCAGGACAAGAUUGAAAUGUUCGCUCAACAGAAGGUUACUCCCAUAGGGUCGGCACAAGUUUGUCAUUUUGAACGAAGCCGAUAGCAUGGCCGAGGAUGCUCAGCAAGCGGGAUGGCGAUUUGAUUGCGGAUCAUUUCUUGAGCUGCGGAUUAAUAAGAACUAAAAGUUGCUGCCAAGAUGUUCAUUGGCGUUUUCAACAUUAUAGGUAACACCGUCAACACAGAAUCCCAAAGCAGUCUUAUACCGUAUUUGUUUACGCCGAGUGUUGCUCUAGUGUUGCACUGGUGCACCACUAGGUGCUGUCAAACUGUUUGUUUAUUCGGACGGUGUUGCACUGGUUUUGACCUGGUGUUACACUGACAUCGGGCGAUAGUGCCCCGAAAAUUUUAUAUAAUAUGAUAAUGAAAUAUCUGCAAAGGAUUGUGUAAGUAGAAAUAACACAGAGAAAUACUAAGUCUAUCGAAUCAUCGAUUGUGUCAUUUUGAUUGUUGCAACGAAUCACAUGAAACCUCUGGGGCUCAUAACUGUAACCAAAGUGACGCAACGUCUUAUAUGAACUAUGAUUUAUGAUAAAGAUGUUCCCCACAGAAUUUUCGAGAACGAAAAAAAUGGGUCACGCAAGACUCUUUCUACCAGCUACGAUUAAGGUUCUGCAACCGCAGACUCAUUGAAUAUUAGAAAUUACGAUGAUGGUUUUGAUCAUGGGUCAGGUAUCACAGUCUGAUUUUCUAGAACAGAGAUUCAAGCUUAACGGUUUGCCUGAGCAGUAUAGUUUCAAAGAAUUUGACAGUGUACGCAGAAGCUGCUUGAUAUGAGUGAAGCACCAACAAAAAACCAAAAGUCAACCCAAUUGAGAGCUGGAGAGAAGAAUCUCAGCAUCAUGGCUUAUUUAAAAAUAUUUUACGAUCUGAAGCGGCCGAAAACAUAUAAAGUUUUAAAAUCGUUGAAUAUCUGGAUUCUCAGGUGGCCUCUUGUUCAUAAGAAAUUCAGAAUUGAAUUGGAUCGAAAGGGAGGGAGCUUAAUCAGUUUGUGAAGUCGGUUACCAAUUCCUACAUCAAAUAAUAAACCGCUGAUGAUCUAUCUUAUGACAACCUUUUCGGAUCAGCACGGCCUGAGUACCUUAACUUUCUUACUCCUAAGUUUUUCCCAGCCAAGCUACCGUUGCUGACAACGUCGAUUUUAAUAUUCCAGAAUUUCGUGCCAUCACCACCGUUCGGCUUAAAAUUGUUUAAAACACAACACCAGCUCCAUAACAGCUCAACGGUGCAAAGAAAAGAUGUAUGAGGCCAAAUUUUGCUCCCUACUUUUGUCGGUGGAUGAAUCCCUCGAGCAAACGUGCGAUCUCCGGAUGGGAGUUUGUUUUUUUGGCAUCAGCAACGCGAUUCCCAUCCGCAGAAUGAUUCCAGUAUUAUGACUUCUUAUAGCCAUAUUGCUUUUAACAAAAAGCGUCAAAGUUUGGAAUUCUAUUGGAUGAGCGGCUCGAGGAAAAUGCAUUUCGAAAAAUGCAAUGAUAAUUGU